rnacentral:rRNA from 1 species
GGAAAAGAAACUAACAAGGAUUCCCUGAGUAACGGCGAGCGAAAAGGGAAUAGCCCAGCGCCGAAUCUCUUGUCCUCCGGGCAAGAAGACAUGUGGCGUUUGGGACGAGGCUUUGCCUGUGCAGAAUGGUCAUCCAAGUCCCUCUUGAACGGGGCCAUAGCCCAUGGAGGGUGCUAGGCCCGUAUGAUGACUUUAUUGUGCAGUGCGUCUCGUCCGUAGAGUCGGGUUGCUUGGGAGUGCAGCCCAAAUCAGGUGGUAAACUCCAUCUAAGGCUAAAUAUGACCACGAGACCGAUAGCGAACAAGUACCGUGAGGGAAAGUUGAAAAGAACUUUGAAGAGAGAGUUAAAAAGUACGUGAAACCUCUCGGGGGUAAGCGGGCAGAACUUGCAAGUAUUGGCUGGGAACAUUCAGGCUUAGUGUUGGUGGCUUGUGGUGCACGAUUUGUUGCUCUUUCGGGAGUUGGCUGCCGUGUACUGUUUGGUCUGCUAACGAUGCGCCGCAUUUGUUCCUGUCAUCGGGUUGCAUGCGACUUGAUGGUAGUUUAGGUGCUAGGUUUCUGCAAAUCCUUGUGGUUUGAGUCUUGGUUUCCAACUACUGUCGGGGUCGUUGAAAUUACGAGUAGGCGCUUGGCGCGGUCAAUGGAUUUCGCGAGUUGGGUGCUUAUGAUAUGUGGACGGGUAACCGUAGCAUGUUGUCUGUACCUGCUGUCAGUGAGAUUUUAAACUUUGGCACUGCUCUGAUUGCAAUCUAAAGCAUGCGUGGUCUGCCUGUCCC